rnacentral:tRNA from 1 species
ACUAUUUUGGCAGAAAAAUUGUGAUAAAUUUAGAAUUUAUUUAUGUAAAUAUUAUUUACAAAUAGUA